GGAGGACACUUGGAAGGGCACCCACCCCGGGUCUCACAGGAGUCUGCACCCGCAGGUCACACUGGCAUUAGCCCCUCAUCCUCUGGAGUUCAUCUCAUCCAGGCGAAGACAGCUGGCUGGCCUCAGAGGGUGAGACGCAACUCGAGGGUAAAAACAUUUUUACAGGGCAUGGACACAAAAGUGGCCUUUACCUCUGGAUAAGCUUUUAAAACUUCCCAUUUACAUGUAAAGGUGUACUUUCUAUGUGCCACCAAGAAACCUAAAGUGAGUAAAAGGUGUUUCACUUUAAUCAAGUUCCCCAAUGAGGGGGCACAGCUCUGAAAAGCACUGUCACAACAGGAGAUUCGAGGGUGCAUGCAAAGCAAUGUUUCUAGAAAAUGCCAAAGGAAACAGACACAACUCCAGUGUGGACUCCCGCUUCCCUGCACUGCUGCUCCAUCCUCAGGGCGGAGGCCACAUCGUCCAGCUAGCUGUGAGAACCUCAUCAUGCUCCUUGAUUGUGUGCAGCAGGUGUCUGCUGAAGUCCUCCACACUCUGCCUGUCUCAUCCGCUGAGCAGUGCCUCCUCCCGAUUCAGCACGUCCCUGGUGCCGACUUUCUGCACGUGUUCACUUUGAGGCUGCAUUGUGGGCCUGCAAGAAAUGCAAAGCUGGUUGAGGCUUUAUUCAAUUCAAAUUCAAGCUGUUAAAUCGAGGCUCUCAGACUCCUGCUGCCUGGCCAGUGGAGAAAUUAACUUUCACAUAUGGCUUUGGGAUUUCUCUCUGUCAUCCUGGUCGACGUGUUCUCUCAUUUUUCUGAAGUCUGGGACCUCAACACAGACAUCUGGGUGAAGGCCUUGACAGCAGCGCUGGUGCAAAAUGAAUUGUCACAUCACACCCAACGUUCUCAACCUUUAGAAUCUGAAAGUAAGAAAAACACCUCAAACAUUGAUUCUGAGUAAUCAGCACAGAUUUCUAAAAGAAACUUUAUGGGAUGCUGAGACAUGAAUAAAAACAACUUUAUUCCUUUGGAAAGGACAACCCACAUGCUAAGAAGAUGACACUACACGUUGUUAUAGCCCGAAAGGCCCUCUUUCCACAGGGGAGCAGUGAAAAGUAGAGGUUGCCCAUGUGGAUUCCCAAGUCAGAUAGAUGUGGAUUCAGAUCCCAGCUCUGCUGCUUGCUACCCAAGAGACCAUGGACUGUGGACUCUUUAGGUCUCAGGGUUUUUGUUUGUUGUCUGUUUUUCACUUCCAAAACCAGAAAAUGAGAAGAUAUUUUCCAUAAGAUGGCGGUGGUGAGUAAAUGUAAUUAUAUGUCUAAAGCUAUGGGCAUGAAAGCUUGGCACACAUUUAAGUAAGUGCUUGAUAAAUGUUAAUUCUUACAACUAUUGGUAUCAUUUAGAUUUAGGUUGCUGAGUUAGUGGGAAAUAAUGUCCUUAUCAUGUGAGGAAUCCCUAUUCUCAAAAGGGGUUAUUAUCAUUAGAAUGCUAACUGUUUUCAAAACAGCUAAUUGACCAUUUUAUUCAGAAGCACCAUCUGCUACUCAUUAGGGUCUAGGUUUCUGUCAGCUCACGGGUGCCCAUAUGUGAGUUGAUAACCCUAUUUCAGUCUUGGUUGUUGAAUCCUCAGUGUCUGCGGUUGACUGACUAUCAGGUAUUUGCAUCUCUGAAAGUAAUUUUCAGCAGUGAGUUUUUAGUUAGGUUCUUUGGUUACAGUUCUGGAUAAUUAACACUAAAAUGAGACAUCUUAGAAGGCUUUGGCUCAGAUAAUUGAGAGAAGUGAAUGUUGAACAAGAUUCAGGAAGGGAAGAGCUGGGAUACCCCAAUGUCUGGAUUUCAUGCUCUUUUUCUCCAAGCACAUCCACUGUGGGGCUUGGCCUCAAUCCCCUAGAUGUCUUCAAUAUAAUCUUCAAUUGUCAGGAGAAGAGAACUUGAUGGACCUUGCUUGGACAAAAUGCCUUCACCGCUAACUCAGUCAGCUAUGGCGAUGGGUCAAGGACCUGGUGGUUUUACAGAGAAGACCCUUGGUCAAAUCUUUGUGAAUGAAGCAACCAUUCUGAUGUUCAAUAACAGGGUAAGUGCUGGCCAAUGAUGUCAUUAUCGUCCAUCCUGUGGCUUCCACACAUCAGUGAUCUUAUUAGAUACCUGCAAUUUCAACCCACUAUAUCAGAAUUCCAUAGGAAUGAGUUGUUUUUAAAGUUCUUCAGAGUGAAUUUGGAUGCUCAGUCAUUAUAAAGAACUAUCUUCAUCCUACAAAGACUGGUGUUUUUUCUUUCCUUGUUUAUCUUGGAAUUUUUUUCCAAUUGCAGCCUUGAAAACCAUUUCCAAUAAUGUCAGAAUUUGCUUAAAAGAUUGUGAAAGACGGUAAUCUGGAUUGUAAUACUGGGUCAAAGAGACCAUACCAGGAGCCAACCAUGCUAAAUCUAACUUUAAAAUACAGAAUUACAAUGUUAAGACAAGUUCCAUAGAGUGAUAAGGUCUAUGUGGUACUUACUAUUUUACACACAUUUUCCUACAC
ensembl:lncRNA LINC02347 long intergenic non-protein coding RNA 2347